rnacentral:rRNA from 1 species
CCUCCAGGGCAUCCUUAGUUACGGCGAGUGAAGCGGUAAAAGCUCCAAAUUUGAAAUCCUGGUACUUUCAGUGCCCGAGUUGUAAUUUGUAGAAUUUGUCUUUGAUUAGGUCCUUGUCUAUGUUCCUUGGAACAGGACGUCAUAGAGGGUGAGAAUCCCGUUUGGCGAGGAUACCUUUUCUCUGUAAGACUUUUUCGAAGAGUCGAGUUGUUUGGGAAUGCAGCUCAAAGUGGGUGGUAAAUUCCAUCUAAAGCUAAAUAUUGGCGAGAGACCGAUAGCGAACAAGUACAGUGAUGGAAAGAUGAAAAGAACUUUGAAAAGAGAGUGAAAAAGUACGUGAAAUUGUUGAAAGGGAAGGGCAUUUGAUCAGACAUGGUGUUUUUUGCAUGCACUCGCCUCUCGUGGGCUUGGGCCUCUCAAAAAUUUCACUGGGCCAACAUCAAUUCUGGCAGCAGGAUAAAUCAUUAAGAAUGUAGCUACUUCGGUAGUGUUAUAGCUUUUUGGAAUACUGUUAGCCGGGAUUGAGGACUGCGCUUCGGCAAGGAUGUUGGCAUAAUGGUUAAAUGCCGCCCGUUGAAAAAAAGGAAAAAAAAAAAAACCAAAAAGGGGAAAAAAAAAAAAAAAAAAAAA